rnacentral:misc_RNA from 1 species
GGAGGAAGGAGUGAAGCCUGACCUUGUGACAUAUAAUACAUUGAUAUAUGGAUUGUCUAAGUCGGGAAGGGUGAAAGAUGCUAAGAAGUUUUUGAAUGUUAUGAUGGAGGAAGGCCAUGUUCCAGAUGCAGUCACGUAUACUUCGUUAAUGAAUGGGAUGUGUAGAGAAGCAGAUCCAUUAGGGGCGGUGGCUUUGUUGGAGAAAAUGGAAG